AGGGGUAUAGCUCAGUGGUAGAGCAUUCGAUUGCAGGUCGAGAGGUCCCCGGCUCACCCGGGUGCCCUCU